rnacentral:lncRNA from 1 species
AUGGGUCAUUCCAAGAAAUCCCUGGCCCUUAGUAGGGGGGAGAUGAAUAGGCAAAACUUAAAAAGGCCAGGAGGGUUUAUUUAAUGAGAGAGGAUUUCAGGGCGGGCAAGCCCUGCUGGAGGCCUCUCAGCUGAGCCGAGAGAGCAGUCUCAAUCCUGAGCCCUGGACCACCUGCUUCUCUCAUAAACAGCCCGCCAAUGGGGCCUGGCCAGCCUGAGUAGGGGAGAGCCCCAAGAGACUGGGUGACAAACACAGUGCCGAAUAGAGAAAGCCCAUAAUGUGAAAUUGGCAGGAUCUCCACCUGGCUGGCAGAUGGAGCACGUGGGCUUCACAACGGAGAGUAAAUGGGACCUGUGAACCUAGUGAGGCCAUGGGGGGAAGAUUUUAUGGGCAAAUUUAUGAACAAAAUUACAAUAAUAAUAAUAAUAACAUUAGCACAGAUUAUUUAUCAAGUGUCUUCAAUGUGACAGGUCAGGACAUAGAUGGGUAGAUAGAUGACAGAAGAUAGAGUAGGUAGAUAAGGAUAGAUGAUGGAUGGAUGGAUAGAUAGGUUGAUAGAUAAUAGACAGAUGGAUAACAAAUAGAUGAUAGAUAAUGGAUGAUCGAUAAGUAGAUAGAUAACAGAUAGGUGAUAGAUUAGAGAGAUGAUAGAGAGAUAGAUCCAAAAAGAGAAGUACUAUUAUUUGUAGUGAAAAAUGUUGACCCUCCCAGAUCCCCUUGGAACCCUUUUCACCCAUUUUGCCUUUUGUGCCCACCCCCAGGCUUGGGUGUGCUCUCGCUUCCAGCAGCAAGCAAGUGUGUCUGUUUUUUCAUAGGCCUUCUCUCAGCCUGGUGGAGCUUGCUUUGCAGAGAUGUAAGCACUGCAGAAUUUUCAUCCACUGUCUUUCCCACAGCCCUUAACCAGUGACUAACAGGUGCAGAGACAUGAAAGCACCUCUGGGUGUGGCCAACACAGGCAUCACCUACAGCUCAGAGCCCCUCUGGGGUCAGGUUGAAGCUGCCCUUUGCAGGACUUUGGCCUGAAAUGACACUUCUGCUCAGCUUCAUCCAUUUUUCUCCCCCACUUCCCCCACUCAAUUUCCACUUUCUCCUGGGAGCCCUUCCUUAAUCAUACGCAUCCUAGUCUCAGGAUAUGCUUUGAGGAAACCUCACUUAAGACAUUAUCCCCCAUUUGUAGGAGAGAAAACUGAAGCUUAUAGUGAUACGAAGGCAUUAGCUUGCCCAGGGCCACUCAAGGAAAUGGCUGAGUUGGUAUUUAUAGGCAGUCCUGACUCCAGGGUCUGUGUUCUUUCCAUCACUUGCAGAACUCACUUCCAAAAAGGAAGCAUUUGUGUGUGGAAAACUGGGAGGAAAGCUCAUGCUUCUUGUCAUCCUUUGGUUCCCUCUGAGGGGUGCUUCUUGACCGUGGGAUCAAGAGUUGGUCAAAUUCAAGACACCUUCACGACAGUGCUGGGGAAGAGGACAACUGACUUGCCAGGAUUUCUCAGUAGGGAAGAAGAAUCUUGUUUGCCUGCUCCAUGGGGUUCUUGGGGAUUCAAGAUGGCAACAGAAUAUCUUGCUAAUGAGCUUAGAAUUUGAGAAUGAAGAUAUCUCUAUCACUGUUCUGAUUAAUUUUGCAGUUGUUCGGCCUGUCUCAACAGACUGGUUCUCAUCCUCCCAUGGGCAUUUGGAUCCUCUGGCAGGUUGUUAAGACUGAUGGCUGGACUCCACCCUCAGGUAUUCUGAUUCAAUAGGUCUCAGAUGGGAGCUGAGAAUUUGCAUUUCCAACAAGUUCCCAGGUAACCUUGCUGCUGCUGGUCAUCUGGGAACCACAGUUUGAGAAUCACAGUUGCAGGGAAGGGGCUCAGCAGCUCCAGAGAAUAACCUGGGAGUGUGGGCAAGUUAAUGCCUCCUGGAAACCCUCAAGCUCUGGGGAAAUCAGAUCAACGCUGCAGCCUCCUGAGCUUCCCUGGAGGUGAUUCUGAGGUGUGUCCCACCCCUCUUCCCAGAGGGUCCCCAGUGAGUGUGAGCCCCAGCGGCUCUGCUUUUCCCCUUUUCUUCUGCCUCUCAUUUGUGUUCCAUGGGCUCUCCUCACCUGCAAACUCUCUGUACCCAACUCCCUGUCUUGGGCUCUGCUUUGAGGGGAACAAAACUAAGUCAAAAGCUUUUUUUUUUUUUCGAGUUUUAUUGAGAAUUGUUGGCAUACAUCACAGUAGAAGUGUAAAGCAAAUAGCACGAUGGUUUGAUUUACAUAUAUUUGGAAAUGAUGACCACAGUAAGCUCAGCUGACAUCCAUCAUCUCCUAUAGAUGGAAUGAAAAGAAGAAAAGCAUUUCUCCUUGUGAUGAGAAUUAUGAUUGACUCUAGGUUUUACUAUAGUCAUCACAUCAUACAUUACAUCCCCAGGAUGUAUUACUUAUAAAUAGAAGGUUGGACCUUUUGACCCCCUGCCUCCAAUUUCCCCUCCUCAGUCAGUCUUAUAUCCAUAUCACUCUAGGCCUUUGAUUCAAAUCGCUGGUUUUCCUUGGUAUGUUCCUCAGAGGGAAUUCAAAGAGGCAAAACCCACUCAACCAAGAAAAGUACUCAUAACACUGUGUGCCCCCUUUGGAGACAUCCACCAAAAUUGUAUUAUUAAUUCAUUGUCUGUGUAAUUAUGUGUUUAAUAUCUGUCUUUCCCUUCAGAUUUCAGAGGCUGGGUCUUUGCUGUUGACUAUAGUCUUUUGUGCCUAAAACUACAUUGGGCAGAUAGUAAGCACUUAAUGAACAAUCUGGAAUGAAUGACCUAAUGAACUCUUUAUUUUUCAGUUUAUAUUAGUAUCUCACAUUUAUAAAGCUGCUUAUGAAGCACUUUACUAUAAAUUCUCAUUUUAUUCUCCCAAACCAUGAGAAGUACAACAGACCUUUUCAUUAAUAUUUUAUUUUUUAAAUUUAAUUUUUUUGGUUGCAUCCACUGCAUAUAGUCAUAUAUACAUAGACUGAAUCCAAGCCACAGCUGGGACCUACAUCACAGCUGCAGCAAUGCAGGAUCCUUAACCUGCUGCACCACAGCAGGAACUUCUCAUAUUUUGUUUUAGCAUUGAUCAAGUGGCUCUUAUUUUCCAAGCUCUUUGCUAGGAGCUCAGAUGCAGAGAUGUGUGAGGCAGUGCUUCUCAAACUUUAGUGUGUUUUCAAAUCACCUGGGACCCUUUUCUCCUCCUGAGUUCAUUGAUUAUCUUUCCAGUCAUUACCCUGAACUCUUUCUUGGGUGGAUUGCCUGUCUCCACUUUAGUUCAUCUGGGGUUUUUGAUCUUGCUCUUUGGUUUGGAACGCAUUCCUCUGCCGCUUCAUUUUGUCUAAGUUGCUAUUUGCACUUUUAUGUCUGUGGUAGGUUCGUUCCAUUUACUGACCUUGGGGAAGUGACCUUCUAUAGGAGGCGUCCCAUGCAAUCCCAGCAGUGCAUUCCCCUCAACCCAAGCUAUAUGCCCUAGGGGGUCCCCCUAAGAGGCAUGCAUGGGUCCUUGUGUUGUGACCGGCUGACCACGUGAGUGAUCUGGUGGGCUUGGUCGGCCCUAGUCUGGUUGGUCAUGAGUCCCUGCCUUAUGCAGAUGCUGCUGGCUGUUGUUGAGUGAGGCUUGGUCCGGAGGUGGCUGGUUGCAAGAUCCUUGGGGGCCUCUGGGGCUAGUGCUGGCUAACUGGUGGGUGGGGUCAGGGAUCGAAGACUCUGGGGCUGUUGCAGGUGAAAUCAGUUCCUGUGGUUAAUGCCAGACUACUGGCAGGCAGAGGUGGUUCCUAGCGUCUAGUUGCAGGGCCCAGGGAUCCCAAAGCUCUUUUUAGAUCAUUGUGGUGGUGGGAGGGCAGUUCCUGACACAGUUGGGAAUGGGGUCAGGGGUGUCCUGCAUAUUGCUUUGGCACGCUGGUUGGCAGGGUCUGGCCUACUUGGUGGAGCACAGUGUUCUCCCUUCCCGUGUCUGCCCCCUGGUCGCUGAGGCUGGCCUAGAGGCUUGUGCAGGCUCCCUGGUGGGAGGGGCCGGUGCCUGCCCACUGGUGGGCUGGGCCAUGUCAAGGGGCGUGUCCAGAGGCAGGUGCGGCUCUUUAGUCUUUAGGCAGCCCCUCUGCUGAAAGGAGGGGCGUGUCCAAGCUCAGUUGUUUGGUCUGAGGCUCCCAGCCCUGUAGCCUGCUGGCUGUUAGCUCUGGGUCUCAAGGGUAAUGAACCAAGAUAUUAGCCUCCAACAAGAGUGUUCCCAGGGCUGAAUGUUUCCCAAUAUACUGCCACCAGCGUUCACAUCCCACGUUGGGCCACAGCCACCCCACCCCCGCCUCUCCAGGAGACUCUCCAAGACUAGCAGGUAGGUCUGGCUCAAGCUUCUAUGGAAUUACUGCUUUUGCCCGGGGUCCCUCACCCAUAGGAUUUUGUGUGCAUCCUUUAAAAGUGAAGUCUCUAUUUCCUUCAGUCCUGGGGGGCUCCUGAAACUCAGCCCCACUGGCCUUCAAAGCCAGGUGUUCUGGGGGGCUCGUCUUCCCGGUGCUGGACCCCCCCAGGUUUGGAGAGCCUGAUGUGGGGCUCAGAAUUCUCACUUCUGUGGGAGAACUUCUGCCAUCUAAUUGUUUCCAGUCUGUGGGUUGCCCACCUGGAGGUAUGAGAUUUGAUUCCAUGGAGAGUCCGUCCCUCCUACCCAUCUCGUUGUGGUAUCUUCUUAGGUCUUUAGUUGUAGAAGAUUUGUUUGGUAAGCUCCAGUCUUUUUCAUUGAUGGUUGUUCUGCAGAGAGCUGACUUUGGUGUUCUCGAGAGAGAAGGUGAGCUCAGGGUCUUUCUCCGCCCUCUUGGCUGCUCUCCCAAGUCACCUAGGGAUCUUGGUAAACUGAAGAUUCUGAUUCAGUGUGUCCGGGAAGGAACCUGACAUUCUGUGUUUCUAAGAAGUUCUCAGAUGACCCUUAUGCUGUUGGUCUGGGGACUACACUUUGAGAAGAAAGGAUAUAGGUUACUGCUUCUUAACUUUAUUGCCCAUUGGAAUUCCCUGGGAAGAUUUAAAAGCACUGCUACCUGGUUCUCAUGCCCAGAGACUUUGAUUUCAUUGGGUUGAGGGUUUUGAAAACUCCCCAGGUGAUUCUAAUGUUUGUCCUACUGGUCCAGGGCAGUGGUUCUGAACUCCCAGCAUGUCAGAUGCUCCUGGAGGACUUGUUAAACAUAGAUGAUUGGGUCCAACCCCAGAGUGUUUGACUAAGGACAGCUGUGGUAGGACCCAAGCUCCUGCUUUUCUAAAAGGUUCCCAGGUGAUGCUGAUAUUGCUGGUCCUGGGUAACACACAUUAAGAAAUGCACUAUGUCUAGUCACUUGUGAUGGAACACGAUAAUGUGAGAAAAUAGAAUGUGUACAUGUAUGUGUAAUUGGGUCACCAUGCUGUACAGUAGAAAAAAAAAAAAGUGUAUUGGGGAAAUAA